AGUGGGGGAUAACGUCCCGAAAGGGACGCUAAUACCGCAUAACAUCCUGCCUUUGGAAAGGCGGAGAUCUAUGCUGGGGAUCGCAAGACCUGGCGCUUGGAGAGGGGCCCGCGUCUGAUUAGCUAGUUGGUAGGGUAAUGGCCUACCAAGGCGACGAUCAGUAUCCGGCCUGAGAGGGCGGACGGACACACUGGGA
rnacentral:rRNA from 1 species